UCAUGUAUUCAACUGCUGUCCACAAGCGGGCCCAGCGUGCUCUUGCACGACUCUACGGCCUGCGCUGCAAAGGAUUACUUCGGCCACGAGCAUCACCUGUUCCAGGAGUGACUACUAAGGCUUCUACAUUUUCGCCAAUGGCGUCCUGCUGGCAGACUGGACUUCUCAUCGCCCUGCACUACUACUGGUUCUGCACUCCUGUUUUCGACUCCGGUGGGUGCCUAGCACGCUCCUGCACAUCGACUCUCCGUUCUGCACUCAGAAAGAGAUUACUUCGGGCACCAGCAUCACCCGUUCCAUGAGCGACUGCUAUUGCUUCUACGUUCUCUCGCCGACGGCCUCCUGCUGGCAGACUGGACUUAGCCUGGCGCCCUUGCACCUAAUUGUGGUUCCCAGUUUCUGCUGUCGCUUGUGGCGCAAGAGAAAUAUUCCAGCACGCUCAUUUACAAGAAUAUUCCUGGCUUUGCCUCACGAGCAACCAUCUUCAGCCCGAUCGUCCUACCGCGUGCUCUAUACAACAAGCUUCCUAAUGAACUCGUGAACGCGUCGCACGCCUCUGUCUUGGCGGUGUCCUGCACUGUGUUGACGGCGUGUUCAUUCUCUGAAGGACUUCGUGUCGUCACCAUCCCGCGACCGUCCAUCGGAUGUGCUCCUACAGUUCGCUGUUGCCUUUUUCCGCAAGCAUAUUUAAUAAGGUCAUUGUAGCAAGCGUUUAUGCUUUGGAAGAGUGGUACGUUGCUCGACGAAUGGAUGCCGAUUCUAGGAAUCUGUUUAAUACGAAGCAGAACAUAAAGGUCUGGGUACGUGGACACCACUCGGUCCUUAAUAAGGACUCAAUGUUUUCAUGAGCCGAUCUGUAAAUUUUUGGUGGCGAGAGUAAUGGACAUUCAUUGACAUUGUGCACUAUUGUAGUAGCACGUUGGUGUGUGUGUGUGUGUGUGUGUGUGUGUGU